rnacentral:rRNA from 1 species
GAACGCGAAGAACCUUACCAAGGCUUGACAUAUACUGGACCGCAUCAGAGAUGGUGUUUCCCUUCGGGGCUGGUAUACAGGUGGUGCAUGGUUGUCGUCAGCUCGUGUCGUGAGAUGUUGGGUUAAGUCCCGCAACGAGCGCAACCCUCGUUCUAUGUUGCCAGCACGUUAUGGUGGGGACUCAUAGGAGACUGCCGGGGUCAACUCGGAGGAAGGUGGGGAUGACGUCAAAUCAUCAUGCCCCUUAUGUCUUGGGCUUCACGCAUGCUACAAUGGCCGGUACAGAGGGUUGCGAUACUGUGGGGUGGAGCUAACCCCUAAAAGCCGGUCUCAGUUCGGAUUGGGGUCUGCAACUCGACCCCAUGAAGUCGGAGUCGCUAGUAAUCGCAGAUCAGCAACGCUGCGGUGAAUACGUUCCCGGGUCUUGUACACACC